rnacentral:lncRNA from 1 species
AAAGCCGAAGACGGGAAAACUUGAUGGGAUUGUGGGGAGUCCUGGCGGCCCUGGCCAGGGAGUGGGGGGCUGGUGAGGGCCGCGGGACUGGGCAGGGCAGGGCAGCGCACAGCAGCAGGGGCAAGGUGGGUGCUCCGCCGUGUGCCAGCUUGGGUCGCGGGGCCCGUGACACCACAGAGGGUAACACGUUGCUCCUGUGGGACCAUCCCAAGGAGCCAAGGUGCGCAGCAGUGCCGAGAGACAAUUUUUGGUGAAGAGGGACGGACCAGAGGGAGGACUUUGUUCUUCCGACUGCGUUGAUCGUAGCAAAGGGGAGAGUGGGAAGGGUCAGCCCAGGCUGGCCCUUCCUCGGCUGGGCUUCAGUGCAAUUCCCUUCGUCCCUUUGGAAACACGAUAGUUGCCUUGGGUUUUGUUCCAUUCCUUUGGUUUCACGCUUUCUAGAGCAAGCAUCGCAACUCCAGAAAACUUACUUGUAAGCUCUUUGUACUUUUCUUAAUUGUCUUGAUCAAUUUAGUACCUUAUUAUUUCCCCAUUCUCUUUUUCUGUGAUAUGUAAUAACCAUCAAUUUUUAUAUUUUUUCAUCCUAAUCCUCUACUUUCUUGUGCUUUCUUGUCCCAUUUUCCUAAUUGUCCCUCUCUCUUCUUAGAUCUACCUAUUUCAGAAUUUCUGAAGUCUACAUCUUACUUUUUACUUUUUACUUUUUAGUUAUUCAUUCUCCUCCUCCUUAAUCUCUUCCCACCUACUCUUCUGCCUUUAUGCUUGGCUUUCUCAUGAAAAACUCCUUUUGCCGGGAGCUUUCCUUUCCUCCAUGCGUAGAAACGCUUGUUUCUCCUGAUGUGGAGCAAACAUAAAACUUCUUCUUGUUCUCUCCUAAACUUAUUCUUCUGUGGGCUGCCCUAUAUCCAUGUUACCCAGUUAUGCAGACAGAGCUAGAAGUAAUUCGUGUUCACAAAUGUUCACUUUCUCUUUUCUUCUCAUCUUUGUCUCUAUGUACAUGCAUCUUCCAGUCCCUAAAAGCUUCUUCUAGUUCCUCUCCAUUGUCCUUAGUGUAGAAGUUUGUUCUUUUCCCUUUCUCCCACUCCAUCUUGGCAGACCCAAUGUUGUUCUUCAUGUCAUUGUUCCAUCCUGUGCAGAGUACUCAGACUUUUCUCUCCAUUCCUUAUAGUUCCCUUCCCAACCUAAGUAAAAUUUGCUUUUUGCACCCCUGAAGGUGUUGCAGAGAAGGGCUACCAGAGAAGACUGAUGUGAAUUUGGCCACUUUGGCUUCUUACAGGGCCAAAUGCCGUAAGUGGUGCUCAUAGUUUAGGUCCCAACUGAAGUAGCACAUCUGCUGGUGGAGGUGCUGUGGGGAGACACUUCAACAGGGCUAAGGAGCCAGAGAAGAUCACAUAUGUUUCCCUCAAAAGGGUUGAUGAGUUUUAUUUUUUCUACUUGGGUUUUUUUUUAAAUUGACUUACUCUCUUCAUUAGUUUUUAAAUACCUGCCAGGGCAGUUGGAGAGCCUUUAUGUUAUCUUUUUUCCCUGUCACUUCAGUGCUUUCUGGAAGGUAAGACUCUGCAGAAAAAGACUCUAAGCCUUUUUCUUAAACCUUCUUCUAUUACACUUCAGCCCCACAAUAUUUUUAAAGCAAAAUGUCAUCCCCAGGCUUUGAGUUUAGGAUGUGUCUAAAUCUGUGAAGAAAUUUGUGUUUGAAAUUAUUCAGAAGAAUGUAACUUUAUAUUUGUAUGUUAGUCCCCGAGUGGUGUGGCGGAGUUACUGUGCUGAACUAACACUUCUUCCUCAAAUUUGAACAGGUCACAACAUGAUUGUUGGGAAAAUGGGAUGGCUGCCAGAACAUCAGUCGGUGAUGGGUGCCAUAUUGCAUUACUCUUCGAAUGGUGGAAUAGAGCUUGGGAUUCCUCUGGGCUGCUUGACAUGAUUCAAACUGGACCAUACAGAUGCCUAACAUCUUAGCUGUUUGGAUUCAUAGUAAUGGUUAAUGGUCUCCUGGGGGAAGUGGAAAAGCCCCAUGCUGAAACUUGUGGAUAUUACGGAACAUGCUGCUGAGACCUAUUUGGAUUAUACUGCCAUGUGACACCAAGGUUCUGCAUCUGAUGAGAGGAGUUCACCAGAUCUUUUUAUGUGGUUGCUGAAGCAUUGCCCUGGGACAGCAGUAAUGAUGGAUGGACGAACAGAACACACUUCAGGCUUGAGUCACAGAGAAACAUGAGGAUUUGCACUUCUGAAAUAAGUGUGAAUGGGAUUGAAAGAACUAAAUGGAGGAUUCUGAACUCCCCUUCUUCCUGCUCCGGGAAAGAUGGGAGAUUUAGAUGGAUCACUCUGCCAGCUGUCAAGGCCAAUACUGCUCUACAGCCCCUGCUCUCAGCCACAUCCUCAGUGUCCUUGUGGCAGGGUGUCUUGGUAGGACUGUGCAGAUCAAGCUUCACACGACCUCUGCACUUCAGUCUCUCUGUGCUGAGGCAAUGAACACAGACCUAUACUUCACACUGGUUUAUCAAAGGAAUUUUUCCAGUCCCUGUUCAAACAAUUUCUGCCUGAGCAUCUCUGAACAGCUAACUGGAGCAACUGGAAUGAGAGGCAUAAAGCUGUGCCAUUCGGAAGAAGCAAGACAGUCUUUCCUCACAGCUACGAUGCUGCACCGCUUCCGACAGAACCUGCUUUUCCCUCCAUUUACCUGGGCGACUGCUGCUCUUUCUGCUGCUGCUGGGGCUGCUGCAGUCUUGCUGCCUGCGCUUCACCCUGGCUUGGCUGACUCGAAACUCUUUCGUCUGCACAUUGCUAAGGAAGAAGAGCGAUGGAGCCACGGAUAUUUUUUUUAUUGGUUCUGGAAGCCAAGGGUUGCAAUAUGUGAUGAUUUCGGGGUUUUCUGUGGCGGGGUGGAGGGAGGAGAAAGGAAGGGUAUUAAUCUAGGAUAGGGUGGGUGAAAGCUUAAAGAAAUAUUAUGUAAAGUAAUCCAGUGCUUGACAAGGGCAUCAGCAACAAGAAUCCAGCCUCUGCUGCUCCAGAGGAUUAAUAUGGGGAAGUCACAGUGCUGCAGUCGGGUUUCACCUCAGUGCUGUACUGGAGAUGGAUAAAUAAGGUAUUGGUUGCAUCUGCCUGUUAAGGCAAAGCCAAGGGAGAAGGAGAGAGCGAGUGAAUGCAAAUGCAAAGGAAGAAGAAACGCUCUGUGCCGUUUGUCUGAUUCUGCGGAUUCUCACUGCAGAGAGGAUGGCUUGAUUAACAAAGCAAUGUAUGGACCGAGGGACUGUAAAUUGUAGCUUGAGCAUUCCUGGUGCUGCCAGGGAGUGAACUGAUGAGUUAGGUAGCUGCAGGAAUAUCCCCAGGGUAAACAGCAGCCUCUCACUCUGUGUCUAUAUUUGUGUACGUAUGUGCUUUUGUGUGUGUGUGUGUGAACACGUACAGAAAUGAAAGAAAGACAUUUCUGACCAAUUUACAGGGGACGUUUGUCAGUUUGCUGGGUCAGACUUGAUUACAGCUUGUAUUUUCAGCUCUAGCUCUACACCCAUUUCCUGACUGAGGUGGCACUUUGUGAAAACAGAUGGUAGGCAGUAUUCUUUUAAGAAUUGUGAAAGCAGAUCCUUUCCGCUUAACACCUUGAAGCACUGAACCUUCUGCACUGUGCUGAGAGAAACCGUGGGGUUUCAUUUUCUCCAUCUUAAAAUCUCUAUAAACACAGCUGUAUUCAGUAUGGUGAAAAAUUCUAUACUGUAAAUAGAAAUGUGAUCAAUCUAAUCAAAAUAAAUGCAUCCCAGAUGACUUCUAGACCAGCUGGCUACCACAGUCAUCAGAUGGCUAAAUCCUCAACUGAGCAUUUGUAUUCAGUGUUAUACUUGCAUCUUUUUAUUUUUCUCUUUUUUUUUUUCUUAGAUUUUCAAAAUCAGCCUCUAAUUUAAAAGGAUUCUUCAUAUAUUUAGAAAAGGCAAUGCUUUCUGUGAAAUGUACCUGGGUGUAUUUUUUACUUUGGAAUCUGCUUGGGGCGAUUUUAGAGUAGGUAGACUUGUCACAGUACAGGCAUAUUUCAUUUGGUAGGUAGCUCAGCCUGGCCAUAUCUGAACAAUGCAGAAACAGGGAAAACAACCACUGCAUACAGCUAGCAGGGCUUGGCAUGGAUUUUAGCAGCUGCCUAUCAAGAAAGACAAGUUUUUUUUCUUUCCGUUUUUCCCUUUUAUACAAAGCCAUAGACCAUAAUGUCAUACUAAAAUGUGUAUGAGGGGAUUUCCCAAUAGUCAUGGUGAGCUAGCCUGCAGGACUCCCGUCUAGUCCUUCCACUAUUUUUUCCCCAGCUUACAAAGGCAGCCCUGUAUGUUGAAUUGUAUUUAGCCAGCUGUUGGAUAGCAUUCUUGUGCUGGGGGCUAAGGAGUCUUAUUACUCCCAAACUGUAGUUUUCUGUUUGCUUAAAGAAAAUUGGCAAUACAGCAGGCUCUGCAAAUAAGUUUAUGCCACUCCUA